GUCCAAUGCUGAAAUCAAUGCAUCAGACAAGUCUUUAAAUUGUUCUCAAGCUUCAUAUAAUGUUUCAUCAUCUAAUUGCUGAAAAGAUAUGAUGUCAUUUCUAAGCUU
rfam:Gossypium hirsutum cultivar TM-1 chromosome 1, whole genome shotgun sequence